UGGGGAAUAUUGCACAAUGGGGGAAACCCUGAUGCAGCAACGCCGCGUGAAGGAAGACGGUUUUCGGAUUGUAAACUUCUGUUCUUAGUGAAGAAUAAUGACGGUAGCUAAGGAGCAAGCCACGGCUAACUACGUGCCAGCAGCCGCGGUAAUACGUAGGUGGCAAGCGUUGUCCGGAAUUACUGGGUGUAAAGGGAGCGCAGGCGGGAGACCAAGUCAGCUGUGAAAACUACGGGCUUAACCUGUAGACUGCAGUUGAAACUGGUUUUCUUGAGUGAAGUAGAGGUUGGCGGAAUUCCGAGUGUAGCGGUGAAAUGCGUAGAUAUUCGGAGGAACACCGGUGGCGAAGGCGGCCAACUGGGCUUUAAUUGACGCUGAGGCUCGAAAGUGUGGGGAGCAAACAGGAUUAGAUACCC
rnacentral:rRNA from 1 species